CUAUUUAAUUUGUAUUUUUGUAAACCAGAUGAAAAACAAGUUUGUGAAAGGUACGAUUUUACGACCACUGCCGAAGUAAGUGAUGGUGAUGAGGAUCAUGAAGUAUAUAGGAAAGAGAAUUUAAUUCUAAGGAAAAGAGUCGAAAAGGAAAACAAAUCGUGUAUUCGUCAGACAAUAAUUCUGAUAGUGACGGUGGAAAUGCUAACUCUAUUUCAGAUUUCCCACCUCCACCAAAGAAAUUUAUUUCAGCAACGAACGAUUCGAGCAUCCAUUUCACGUCGAUGAUUCCAAGAACACCACUGUCAAGAUCGAGAAGCCCUCUUCGAGAAAAACCGAAUAGCAGUAACAGACCACGGAACAAACAACACAAUGAGCUUGUCACAAUGAACAAACACUUCUCUUCAUCAUCAUCCAAAACACAUUCUGCAUCGAACUGCAAAAGAAAGUCAAGACCCAGAAUGCGUUCGAGAUCGAAAACAAGAUCAAGGACGAGGUCCAAACCUUCUCAGUCAGAGGAACAAAGUUUAUCUGGAAAGAAAAAGACCCCAGAAUACCUUAGAUCCAACGAUGGACCAUU
rnacentral:lncRNA from 1 species